GCCUGGGUAGCUCAGUGGUUGAGCGUCUGCCUUCGGCUCAGGGCAUGAUCCUGGAGUCCUGGGAUCGAGUCCCACAUCAGGCU
rnacentral:tRNA from 1 species